rnacentral:rRNA from 1 species
UACGAAGGGGGCUAGCGUUGCUCGGAAUUACUGGGCGUAAAGGGCGCGUAGGCGGAUAUCUAAGUUGGGGUGAAAUCCCGGGGCUCAACCUCGGAAUUGCCUUCCAAAACUGGAUAUCUUGAGUUCGGGAGAGGUGAGUGGAACUCCGAGUGUAGAGGUGAAAUCGUAGAUAUUCGGAAGAACACCAGUGGCGAAGGCGGCCUGCCUGGGCAGUGGCUGGACACUGAGGCGCGACAGCGUGGGGAGCGAACAGG